UAAAAAUGGGCUCGGCAUACCAGCUCGAGCGUAACUGAAAUCUGAACUACCUGGAAUACUCACUAUGAGGAUACUGCAACAGUAUAAAAAUACAACGGCCCCUAGGGCUAAAUCAGGUAGUUUAACAUAUGCCAGGUCCCGAACGCUGGUUGUCUCCUAUGUUUUAUCCAAGUCCAACAUGUAUGAUUAAUAACAGCUAAUAACAUGCUCCCAAUUCAGUUAAUAUGUCUAAAACAUACCUACUCCUGAAUUUGAGCUAAACAAUAACAACUUGUAAUAUUAACAAUAUAUGUCGACCAACAAUACUAUAGGAGUAGGAUUUCGAUGAUAAACCCACCUCAAACGCUAAUCACAAUCCGGCGCGACAACGAAAACGACGGAAUCGGACCCUCGUCCGUCCCCCCUCACGAUGCUACGACGACGAACACACGCUCGAACGGCACCGCGGCGCGACGUCGACGAAACUCCACACCACCCGAGCUUCUCCUCUAUGUACGGCUCAAGAACUAUAUAUAUAGGAAUUGCAAUGAACAUGUAUUAAAUUGAUAAGCAUGCUUGGGGGUAAGGUGCACGUGGCAUCCUUAUCCCCAGCUAGCUUACCAACUUAAAAAAAUAAAAAGAAAAAGGAAAAGAAAAGAAAAAAAAUAAGGAUACUACAUCCUUCCCCACUAUAAAAAGUUUCGUCCUCGAAACUUAAAACAUACCUCAAGACGGGGCAACGAACAAGUCGGGGUAGGACUCCCUCAUCACUGUCUCAGACUCCCAAGUCGCCUCCCGCUCCUCGUGAUUGCUCCAC
rnacentral:lncRNA from 1 species